AAGCUGCUGUCUAUCGGCCUGGCUGUGGUGGCUAUCCUAGUGGUCUUCAUGUGGGAGAAACUCCACUGAGACCGAGGGGCUGGAAGACAUGGACCUGGGCCUGUAUUUAUAGAGUGUCUCGGAGGAGGAGUGCUGAUCCAAGAUCAGGGCCCUCCUUUACAAUCAUCCUUAUAUUCUACAAGGCAAAACUGAUCCCAGAUCAGCAUUCAUACACCGAGACUCUUUAUGAAUAAGGGACCUGGAUCAAAUACAUAUGGAAAUGAUUUCCAAGUACUUUGUACUGGGCAAACUAAAUCAAGCGUAGCUCGAGUAUUUGAAAGAAUUUGACAUAUUUAUUUGGCCCUAUAGGUUUGGUUGAAAUGGGUUUUGGAAGGGUCCUAGUUUAGCUUUAUAUGAGGAAAAACUUCUCGGUCUUGGACAAAGACUGAUUGAAUCUGUAGCUGCAUGUGAGAGUUAGGAAGAGGAGACGAGGGAAGGAAACAAGGACAGGAGAUAAGGAGAGGACAGGUUAAAGACAUGUUGUGUGAUACUCUGAUUUAAGAUGGUGGAUAUCUUUAAUUAAAAGUAUUUAUUUUGACCACAAUGAAACAGACACAGAGGAACAGGUAUAUUUUUGGUAAUGAGUUUACAUCACAGUAAAAGCCCUUUCUGUGUCUGUCGUACCACAUUGUGAUUGUUUAUCAAAAAAAAAAAUCUUUUUUUUUUUUCUCUCGUGUUUCUCUAUUUGUAUUUCUGCUUUUAUGGUUUUCCAUUUUAACGUCAGUCUACUAAUGAGUAGAUGGGAGACCCCUUUGUGCCCUGGUAUGAAGUAGUUAGGGAACAGGGUGCUAUUUGGGAUGCUGUGAUGUUACAGUGUGAAACUGCAUGUUGUUUGGUUCUAUUUAUGUACAUCUCAACAGUGGAUCAUCCUAUCCCAGGGGACUUAUUGUCUGGCCUAGAUCCCUGUCUGGCCUAGAUCCCUGUCUGGCCUAGAUCCCUGUCUGGCCUAGAUCCCUGUCUGGCCUAGAUCCCUGUCUGGCCUAGAUCCCUGUCUGGCCUAGAUCUCUGUCUGGCCUAGAUCCCUGUCUGGCCUAGAUCUCUGUCUGGCCUAGAUCCCUGUCUGGCCUAGAGCCCUGUCUGGCCUAGAUCCCUGUCUGGCCUAGAUCCCUGUCUGGCCUAGAUCCCUGUCUGGCCUAGAUCCCUGUCUGGCCUAGAUCCCUGUCUGGCCUAGAGCCCUGUCUGGCCUAGAUCCCUGUCUGGCCUAGAUCCCUGUCUGGCCUAGAUCCCUGUCUGGCCUAGAUCCCUGUCUGGCCUAGAUCCCUGUCUGCCUCUCAAAUGGCACCCAAUUCCCUUUAUAGUGCACUACUUUUCACCAGGACCUAUGGGGGGGAAGGGGGUCUGGCCAAAGGUCGUGCACUACUUUUCACCAGGACCUAUGGGGGGGGAAGGGCGUCUGGCCAAAGGUAGUGCACUACUUUUCACCAGGACCCUAUGGGGAAGGGUGUCUGGCCAAAGGUAGUGCACUACUUUUCACCAGGACCUAUGGGGGGGAAGGGGGUCUGGCCAAAGGUAGUGCACUACUUUUCACCAGGACCCUAUGGGGAAGGGUGUCUGGCCAAAGGUAGUGCACUAUAUAGAGAAUAGAGUUUAAUUUGGGACACAGACUUGACAGUGUUUUCUCAUCUUUGUUUGCAGGGUAAAGCUAACCUUAAUAAACGUUAAUAAACCACAACUCCAUGCU